rnacentral:lncRNA from 1 species
UACAUUUCAGAAAGGAAAAGCUAGGGUCCUUUCCAGUGGCAAAAUAGUGGGGGAUCCAGGGAAGUGGAAUGUUGUGCGAGACAAUCGCAAACUAGUCAAUAGGGACAACACACUCCCCAUUAAUGUGGCAAACAAAUUUCAAGCACUUAAUCAAGAAGAGGAGAUCCAAGCAAUGGUAACAAAUGGUAAAGUUGAAAACACAACCGAUGUAGAAGCUAAUCAAAAAGAUAAAGAUGACGGGAACAUGACUUCAAAUGAGUGGGUUACAAAAUCAUUUGGAGCAAUAUUACCAACUCAUGAUACCGACCAAUCAGCAAGCCCUGCAAAACGUCAUGUUUUAGAUCAAUAUGCACAAAAUAAAGAGAAAGAAGGGGAGGACAAAGAAAUAUCUGUUGGAGAGCAAUCUGGCCGAGAUAAUUAUCAGAAAGAUGUAAUAAAUGGUGACUAUGAGGAGCAGAAUAAAAAUUCAUCUGGGAACUGUUUGGCUACAUGUGGCUCUACAAAACAACAAGGUUUCGAUAAAAUACAAGAAUUAGUAGAGAGUCGUGAUGCACGAGACAAAGAAGAACCUGAGAAUCAAUCUUUUAUGGAUUCAACCUUCGAGAUUGACAACGACAUUUCCAGUGGAAAAUGCCUGCAAGAUGAAAACAAUGAUGAGAAUGAGUUCAACUCGAACAUUGUAAGUAAUACAUCAAAGCAAAAGAUUGAUUCGGAGUUACAAUUGCAGACAAGUGAGCAUGAACAACACAACAACAAUAAAGAAAUAGCUCAAAUACAUUCAGCAAGACAAAAUGAAGAAUCCCUUGUGGUUAUGGUUAAUACAGAAUCUCCAAAUAAAGUUUUACAUGAUAUACUUACUCACAAGCAAGGAGACUCAAACUUGGAAGACUUGGAGGAGGUUAAGGUGACUGAAAUUUUUUACUCUGAUUCUAAUGAUGAGUGGUUUUUAAAUGAUGUAGAUCUGUCACCAAGAGCUAUUAAAGCUAUUAAAUCUGCAAGGAAAGGAAAAAAACAAGGACAUGGAGAUAUAUCACAACCAGUAAGGGUGCAACCAAAGAGACAGGUUUCAUCCCUUUUCGCAAAAUGAUAAUGAAUGCACUCAUUUGGAAUAUAAGGUCAGUGAGGACACAAAAUGCCUUUCAGAGGGUGCAAAUGUUACAUUAUCAUCACAAGUUUGCUUUUGUUGCAUUAUUAGAGCCUUUUCAAGCAGUUAGACACAUCAACAAGUAUAGAAGAAGAUUAAAAAUGCCAUUGGGGACUCAUAAUAACAAUGGAAAGAUUUGGUUAUUUACUAAUCACGGCUUUGAUGUUUCAGUGGUGAGUAAUUCAGAUCAGCAGCUCACUGUAUUGAUGAAAAACCACUUUACUGCUUUAAGUUUUUAUGUUACUAUAGUAUAUGCUAAGUGUGAUAGCAAUCUGAGGUUGAAUAUAUGGGAAGAGCUAUAUUCUAUUUCUACUGGGAUGGACAGACCUUGGUUGAUAGGUGGGGAUUUUAAUGUGGUUCUUAAUGGAGAAGAGUAGAUUGGUGGAGUACCAGUAGUUGCUGCAGAUGUUGAUGACUUCAAGACAUGUAUUGAAUCUUGCGAUCUUUCACAAGUACCAUUUAAAGGAAGUCCUUUUACUUGGUGGAAUGGUCGAGCAGGCGAUGAUUGUAUUUUUGAAAGAUUAGAUAGAAUACUGAUAAAUGCAGAGAUGCAAAAUAUUUUUGCUCAGUUAGAGAUUGAUCACUUGCCCAGAGUAGGAUCAGACCAUGCUCUAAUGUUAGUGUCUUGUGCAGAUGGAGGUGCAAAUAAAAAGAAACCUUUCAGGUUCUUGAAUUUUUGGACUGAGCAUGAAUCUUUUAAAGAAUUGGUUAGAUUGAAUUGGGAUUCUCAGAGUUCAUUUAACCCUUUUUUAGACUUUAAAAGAAAGAUCAAGAAAACUAAAACGGCACUAACUAUGUGGAGUAGAGAAACUUAUGGGGAUAUUUUUCAGCAACUUAUCAUAAGAGAGGAGAUUUCUAGAAUUAAAGAAAAAUUAUUUGAAGAAGACUCCUCUAGUGAAAAUAGAUCUAUCAUGCAAAAAGCAAAAGCUGAAUAUAAUUGAUAUCUACACUUUGAAGAGCUUUUUUGGCAACAAAAAGCUGGAUAUGAUUGGUUUGAAAAUGGGGAUAGGAAUACCAGAUUCUUCCACAGUCUGGUGAAAGGAAGAAGACAGAAGGGGAGAGUAAAUAGAAUUCAAAAUUCACAGGGGGAGUGGUUACAAGAAGAAGGGGCAAUUGCUAAUGAAGCAGUAGAGCAUUUCCAUAGACAUUUUCAACAGGAAGGUGAUGUUACUAAUUUUCCUUUAUUGUCUUACAUCUCUGAAUUAGUUACUGAGGAAGAGAACGCAGCUUUGUGUGCUAGUCCAGUUUUAGAAGACGUGAAAAAAGCAGUGUUUAAGCUAAGUGCAGACAGUGCCAGCGGCCCUGAUGGGUUAACAGGUAAAUUUUUUCAGUAGUGCUGGGAUAUAGUUAGUGGUGAUAUUUUAAGAAUGGUCCAGGAUUUUUUUGCUGGCAAUACCCUUCCGAAAUCUAUUACACAUACUAAUCUGGUUAUCAUACCAAAGAAGGCACAUGUACAAACCUUCUCUGAUAUGAGACCUAUUAGUUUGAGUAAUUUUGUGAACAAGAUCUUGUCUAGGAUUAUUCAUGAUAGGCUGGAAGAUAUGUUACCCAAACUGAUUUCUUCAAAUCAGUCUGGUUUUAUUAAAGGAAGAAAUAUUAUUGAAAAUGUUCUACUAGCGCAAGAGAUGGUAACUGACAUUGCUAAAAGAGGGAAGCCUGCUAAUGUUGUCAUUAAACUGGACAUGGCUAAAGCAUAUGAUAAAGUGUCUUGGUUUUUUCUGAUGAAGGUCUUGAGGAAGAUGGGCUUUGAUUCAAGAUUUACAGAUAUGAUAUGGAGACUUAUUGCUAACAAUUACUACUCAGUCCUUAUUAAUGGCCAAUCAUAUGGUUUCUUUCAUUCUACAAGGGGUGUGAAGCAAGGAGACCCUCUCUCUCCGGCCCUAUUUAUUCUAGCAGCUGAAGUUCUUUCUAGAGCUCUAAAUUCUUUAUUUGAUGAUCCUCAGUAUGUGGGUUAUGGUUUGCCUAAAUGGAGUACAAACUUAAAUCAUUUAGCUUAUGCAGAUGAUACCAUUAUAUUUGCAUCAACUAAUGAGUACUCCUUAAGAAGAAUAAUGGCUGUUUUACAGGAAUAUAAGCAUCAAUCUGGCCAAAAGGUGAACAAAGACAAGAGUUCCUUUUAUUUGCAUCAAAAUGUAGCAGCAGGAAUUCCAACCUCAGUGGAGCAAUGUGUUGGAAUGAACAAGGGUUCUUUUCCUACGAAGUAUUUGGGAUGUCCUAUCACCCAUACAAGAAAGAGAAAAGAACACUAUGCAGAGUUGAUUGAAAGAGUUAAAGGUAAACUACAAGUAUGGAAAGGAAGGAUGAUAUCCUUUGGUGGUAAAGAAGUUCUACUUUCUAGUGUUUUGCAAAGCAUUCCUAUAUAUGUAUUAUCUGCAAUCACUCCUCCUAUAUGUGUGAUCAAGGAAUUACAUAAGAUCUUUGCUAAAUUUUUUUGGAGUAAUAAGGAGUCUGGUAGGAGUAAACAUUGGGCUGAAUGGGUCAAAGUCUGUCUACCAAAGCAAGAAGGGGGGCUUGGUUUCAAGUCAUUAUUUGAAGUUUCUCAGGCCUUAUAUGCUAAAUUGUGGUGGAAAUUUAGGACACAAAACAAUUUGUGGUCCAACUUCUUUUGGAACAAAUAUUGCAAGAAACAAAUUCCUUCUCUUGUGCAAUGGAAAGGAGGUUCUCAAAUCUGGAAACAUAUGCUUGAAAAUAGAGAUGUUAUUGAACAACAUUUGUGGUGGGAACCUAGGGGUGGAACUUCUUCCAUUUGGUAUGAUAAUUGGUCCAAUCUUGGGCCUUUGCACUUACAUCAGUUAGGCACCCCAACCUGUCACCCCAUGAGAGAUAUAGGGGACCUUUUUAAUGAGGAGGGUUGGGAUUUUGAUGCUCUUCACGAUGCUGUUCCUGAAUAUGUAGUGGAUCAUAUCACACAUAAUAUGAGGUUUCUACAGUUGGAAGAUUUAGCGGACAAACCUUGGUGGACCAAAUCUAGUACUGGAUAUUUCAGUGUUAAGAGUGUUUGGGAAGUGCUAAGGAAAAAGGAGAAUGUCGAUGAAGAUUUCAAAUCUUUAUGGGUGAAAGGUUUACCUUUCAAGUUCUCAUUUCUAGCCUGGAGGAUUUGGCGAGGAAAAGUACCUGUGGCUACUGUCAUUCAUGCUUGGAAUCCUAAUAUCUCUCAGAAUUGCAGGUGUUGUAACAUUCCUGAGAAUGAGUCUAUUAAUCAUUUGUUCUUGAGAGGAGAGAUCGCAACCAGAAUAUGGUCGUAUUACUCUAGAGCGGUUGGAAUAAUUGGGGUCAUGUUGAAUGUAAAACAGAUGGUGAGAAAAUGGUGGUCUACUGAUGGUAACUAUAGGAUAAAACUAGUUUAUCAGGCUAUUCCUAUAGUUAUAAUGUGGUUUUUGUGGAAGAGGAGAAAUACUAUAUUAAAUGGUGGAUAUUAUUUGGUUGGAAAGGUGAUAUGGGAAAUUAAUAACACUAUUCUGAAGUUCAUUAAGCUCCGAUGUAAGGGCAAUUUUGGUUUGAAUAAUUGGCCUCUAAUUGUGCAGUAUCUGGAAGGGUAUAGCGUAGUCUAUAACUUCAAAGUGGUGAAAUGGGUUCCACCUCCGAUAAAUUGGUUUAAGGGUAAUACUGAUGGUGCUUCUAAAGGCAACCCUGGACCUAGUUCAGCUGCUUUUUGUAUUAGGGAUCAUGAAGGAAAUCUAAUUGUAGCUAAAGGGGUCAGACUUCAGGAGACCACCAAUUUGAUUGCAGAAGCCAUAGCCAUAAGAGAAUGUUUGGUGUUUGCAGAGACAAUAUGUUGUCUCAGAUUAUUAUUGAGACUGAUUCUCUGGCAAUGGUUCAUAUUCUAGAGGGACAGUGGGAAACUCCAUGGAGUGUGGCUUUGGAAGUUAGAUUCAUUCAGAAUUUGAAGGGAAUUGUGUCGGCAAGAGUACAACAUUCCCUCAGGGAAGGAAAUACUCUUGCUGAUUAUUUUGCUAACUUAGUUUUUGAUUUUGCAGGUAACUAUCAACUUAAUUCUAUACAAGAAGUUCCCAAUGAAGGCAAAAAUAUUAUAUACAUGGAUAAAAGUGGUACUCCUAAUAUCAGAAGAUUUUUAGCGGAAUCAAUUUGUUGAUUUACUACUUGAUGCAGAUUUAACUUUUUGAGAGGAAUACCAGUUUAAAACAUAGUAUUCAGUGACUACAGUAAUGUCUGAAGAAAUUUCGUUAUGGUUUGUGUGUUUCGCACCUGGUGAGGGCUUUGAGGUGUCCAAGGAAUACCUAACCAAGACAUUAUUAUCAAUACUAGGUGCUUGUUUUAAUAUCUGUACUGCUGCAAUUUUGAAUCUGCAAAGAGAUUACAUGGUAUCAUCUCUUUCAAGAUUGUCCUCUAAAAGUGUGAUUUAUUUUUUAGACAAAAAUUUAGAUGGUGGUAUUAAUUUCUUUUGAGAUUCAAUCCAUCAAAUUUUAGUUUAGAAAAUUUAUACAUAAAUUUAGAGAUGACUGUAGAUUGUUUUAUUCCAUCACGUCAGCAUAAAGGCACAAUCUAGUGUAUGCAUAGUGACAAUUUCAAUAGAUCUAGUAGUAUCUGAUAAUUUCUUACCUGAAGUAAGAUCUUUUAUGUCGUCUGCUCAGAGAACACUCAUCGAUCUUGAAGAUCUGACGUUCCUAGCUCCUAUUGCGAGAUAGAGAAGAGUGAAUUUCUUAGAAGUGAAGAUGGAGAUUAUCUUUGAUAGCGGUGCUUUCUCCGGGGGUUGGACGACGACAAGUAGCUCACACGCUUAAUUAUGGUGCUUCCUCCGGGGAUCAGAAAAUAACAACAACCUUGUCUUCAUCCAUGAUCUGCUUCUUCCAGCAGAUAUGUUCAAGAUAUGUUACAGUGACCUUUCCACAUCUUUGUUCAUUUGGUCCUUUUUCUUAUUUUAUUUUUGUCUUAUUGGACAAGGCCACUUUUGGGCCU